GAUGAACGCUGGCGGCGUGCCUAAUACAUGCAAGUCGAGCGAACGGACGAGAAGCUUGCUUCUCUGAUGUUAGCGGCGGACAGGUGAGUAACACGUGGAUAACCUACCUAUAAGACUGGGAUAACUUCGGGAAACCGGAGCUAAUACCGGAUAAUAUUUUGAACCUCAUGGUUCAAAAGUGAAAGACGGUCUUGCUGUCACUUAUAGAUGGAUCCGCGCUGCAUUAGCUAGUUGGUAAGGUAACGGCUUACCAAGGCAACGAUGCAUAGCCGACCUGAGAGGGUGUCCGGCCACACUGGAACUGAGAGACGGUCCUGACUCCUACGGGAGGCAGCAGUUGGGAAUCUUCCGCAAUGGGCGAAAGCCUGACGGAGCAACGCCGCGUGAGUGAUGAAGGUCUUCGGAUCGUAAAACUCUGUUAUUAGGGAAGAACAUAUGUGUAAGUAAGUGUGCACAUCUUGACGGUACCUAAUCAGAAAGCCACGGCUAACUACGUG
rnacentral:rRNA from 1 species